rnacentral:lncRNA from 1 species
CGGAAACAUACUUAUAAUUAACACUUACAUAAGAGAAUCGUAACACAAUAACUAAUCUUCAGGCUCAAUCUUCACAGGGACGGCUGACUGGGGGUAACAUAUGCCUAGCACUUCUUGUAUUCUGAGAACAUCCUUCAUGAUUCCAUCGCUCUCCUCAUCAACUCUUACUAGUAAACUGGAGUGGUGGGAAAUAGCAAGAGUGAGCACAUAUCGUACUCAACAAGUAUAACCAGGGAUUCAUGAGGCUCAAAUGGCUGACACUGGUUUAACUGCAUUUAGCUUUUAAUAGUGGAGAGCAUGUUCAUAAUUUAAUAGCAAUUGUCAAGGUAGCAGUAAUAAUCCAUUAAUCACAUGAUCAAGUGUAAGCAUAAUUAAUUCUUAGCAUAAACGAUAAUCAAAUGAACAUAACAACUUAACAAGCUCAUCGUCGUCGCAGCAAGAACCCCCAAGGCCGCUCUUAACCGUGAGCACGGCUAGUAUACUAGUUUUAACACUCUACAGAGGUUGUACAUCUUUACCCAUGAGUCAUGAUUUACCCUUUCGCCCGAGGUGAUCAGCCUCUUAACCCACUCCCAAGGAAGGUCGGCAGGGAUCACUAUGAAGCCUUUCAAAAGUUCGUCUAACAUGUUAGGGCCGCAAGGUUUCCUUUGCGAGCAGAUAUAGAUACCCCAGGGGCUCGCACUAUACCCGUGUCGGUUCAGCCCCUCCGCCCUUUCGGGUAACCUCUAACAAGCUAGAAAAGGUCUUCAUACUAAGCUAAAGCCAGAGCCAUUAUAGCCCUCUUGGUUGCACUGUUAUCCCGGUGAUCACUUACAGACAAGAUCUCAUAUAGUUAUUUGUCAUCUUUUAACGUUUAUUGCAUAGCUAUUAAUCAUCUUACAAGAUCAUGGAUUAUAUCAAGCACUAGCACAUCUACACCAAAUGCAUAUCAAGUAGGUAGUAAGGAAUCCAGGAUAACAAACAUCUAUGAUUUUGCUAAGGUCGACAAGGUGAUAGCAUGCAUAUGAUAUAUAUGUGUAGUUAUAAGUGAAUAGGUAACAAGGAUGAUCCCAAGUUAUACUUGCCUUAAACACUUGCUUACUCCUCACAUCAUCAGCUUUCUGUCAUCAUCUUCUGAUCUUCAAUGCCCACAAACAGUUCUCGUCUACUUGCAUCAAGCACCACGCAUAGGCAAACAUACAAAGCAACAAAUAAAAGCAACUAAGAACAAUACACCACUCAAGACAAAACAAUAUACUAAAAGAGAACUAGUUCUACGGUCACAGGAUCGCAAGAAACACUAAUAACGAAGCCAUCAUAAUAAAUAAAUGACAUCAAGAGAUUUAUAUUACAUAAAAGAAACAACUACAAGCUUGAUUUAUUUUAGUUAAAUAAAACCAUAGAAAAUUUACUUAUUCAGAUUAGAUAAAUUAUAUUUAAACUUUAAAAAGUGAAAGUUAAUUAAUCAUGUUUUAUUUGUAAAUAUUAAUGUGUAGUUCAUUUAUCAAGUUAAAGUAGACAAGUGACAGCACGUGGAACAAGUUUACACUAACCAAAUUCAAUUUAAAAACACAUUUAUGUUGCUAAUAUCCAAAUUUACAGUUAGAUAUAAAAGCUCGACAUUGUCCUAUAUUGCUUUUGUUUAGCAACUAAUUUCAUGCACAUUGAUCCAAUUAAUGUUUAACUGUAAACACAAAAACUUAUGGCCUGCUAAACGUACUGUAUAUUAUAUCAAUAUAAAAUUAAUCAACAAAAAUAGACUAGCAUAAUUAAAAUGUCCGUACGAUGAAGGGUUAAAGCUGUAGAAAUUUUGUGGGAUUUACUAACAAGGAGAACCUGAGUUCACUAGAGAUGUAGAUACGUACUGUGCUUGGUCAUAUCGGACGGUUUCUCGGGCGGGCAUGUCCCAUACGUGAUCUGCUUUGCUGCUUACUUUGCUUGAACUACAGGACAACAAUGCUGUCAUUUACUGAAGAUACGUAGGCACAAAAGCUAGUGACUGUGCUGUAGAGAAUAGAUUAUGUAGGGAUACAAGGAGAUUCUCACCAAGGCUGAAGAUGAACGAACGACAGGCACAAACUUGUUGGAUGAGAACCAAAGAUCGAUCAUGGCAGCCUGGAGCGGCAAGAAGGGCGAUGAUCUGAUGAGGUUCGUGGUGGUUAUAGAGGUCUUUGAUGCGGAUCCAGCGGAUCGAUCGGAAUCAAAGGCAGCUUGACCGUGUCCAUCUUGAUGAAUCCGGCUUCUGGAGAGUGCACCACCGGCGGCUUGGACUUGCUCUUCCCAUGACCAAAGCUAGGAGAUUCAGAAGUCUAGAUUGAUCUAUGGCCUUUACGGACCACCAUCAGUUUGCCCAGAGCUAAGAUUAUUGUUGAUGGCAGCGGCACUUAUG